AAGUUUCAAGUGAAGUAAGGCGACCCGCUGAAUUUAAGCAUAUUACUAA
rnacentral:rRNA from 1 species